GCUGGGCACAGUGGUGCUUGCCUAUAAUCCCAGUGGCUCAGGAGGCUGAGGCAGGAGGAUUGUGAGUUCAAAGCCAGCUUCAGCAAAAGCAAGGAGCUAAGCAACUCAGUGAGAUCCUGUCUCUA
rnacentral:sRNA from 1 species